GUUGAACGCUGGCGGCAUGCCUUACACAUGCAAGUCGAACGGCAGCGGACCUUCGGGUGCCGGCGAGUGGCGAACGGGUGAGUAAUGCAUCGGAACGUACCUUUCAGUGGGGGAUAACGUAGCGAAAGUUACGCUAAUACCGCAUAUUCUGUGAGCAGGAAAGCAGGGGAUCGCAAGACCUUGCGCUGAUUGAGCGGCCGAUGUCAGAUUAGCUAGUUGGUGAGGUAAAGGCUCACCAAGGCGACGAUCUGUAGCGGGUCUGAGAGGAUGAUCCGCAACACUGGGACUGAGACACGGCCCAGACUCCUACGGGAGGCAGCAGUGGGGAAUUUUGGACAAUGGGGGCAACCCUGAUCCAGCCAUGCCGCGUGAGUGAAGAAGGCCUUCGGGUUGUAAAGCUCUUUCGGCCGGGAAGAAAUCGCACAGGCUAAUACCUUGUGUGGAUGACGGUACCGGAAUAAGAAGCACCGGCUAACUACGUGCCAGCCGCCGCCGUAAGAC
rnacentral:rRNA from 1 species